CCCAGCUCGUCAUGCUAGAGCACUUUUUCAAUGGGCUCCCCAACGACAAGGCGACGACGCAUUCGUAUGUCAUCCAUAUCAACUUUCGAUGCCACUUUCUGCGCCUACUAUGGUGAACACGGGUAACGGGGAAUCAGGGUUUAAUUCCUGAGAAGGAGCCUGAGAAACGGCUACCACAUGCAAGGAAGGCAGCAGGUGCACAAAUGACCUACUCCCGACGCGGGAAGAUAGUGACG
rnacentral:rRNA from 1 species